CCCUUAGAUGUCCUGGGCCGCACGCGCGCUACACUGAUGCAUUCAACGAGUUUUACCUUGGCCGAGAGGCCUGGGCAAUCUUUUAAACCUGCAUCGUGAUAGGGAUAGAUUAUUGCAAUUAUUAAUCUUGAACGAGGAAUUCCUAGUAAACGCAAAUCAUCAAUUUGCAUUGAUUACGUCCCUGCCCUUUGUACACACCGCCCGUCGCUACUACCGAUUGAAUGGUUUAGUGAGAUCUCCGGAUUGGCUCUGUAGGUCCCGCAAGGGAUUUAUUAGUAGCCAAGAAGCUGCUCAAACUUGAUCAUUUAGAGGAAGUAAAAGUCGUAACA
rnacentral:rRNA from 1 species